CCAAUAGCGUAUAUUAAAGUUGUUGCAGUUAAAAAGCUCGUAGUUGAACUUCGGGAUUUGUUCAUUGGUCAGUCUUCACUGUCUGUACUGGUGUAACGAAUUCCUACUUUCUGAUGAAUCUUCAUGCCAUUCACUUGGUGCGUAGGGGAAUCAGGACGGUUACUUUGAAAAAAUUAGAGUGUUUAAAGCAGGCUUAUUGCUCGAAUACAUUAGCAUGGAAUAAUAGAAUAGGACGGUUGGUUCUAUUUUGUUGGUUUCUAGAAUCACCGUAAUGAUUAAUAGGGAUAGUUGGGGGCAUUAGUAUUCAAUUGUCAGAGGUGAAAUUCUUGGAUUUAUUGAAGACUAACUACUGCGAAAGCAUUUGCCAAGGAUGUUUUCAUUAAUCAAGAACGAAAGUUAGGGGAUCGAAGACGAUCAGAUACCGUCGUAGUCUUAACCAUAAACUAUGCCGACUAGGGAUCGGACGAAGUUAAUUUUUAAAUGACUCGCUCGGCACCUUACG
rnacentral:rRNA from 1 species